rnacentral:lncRNA from 1 species
GGGAGUUUUUGAACGGUGGUAGCUUCGCACCAUAUUCUGGACAAAAAGGAAGGAAUUUGCUGGAGCUAAAUUUCUCAGUCGAUGGUGGCUUCGUGGCUUCGUGCGUACGAGUAGGCCUACGUACGAGCAGAUCGAUCGUGAGGUGUUGUACAAGCCUGGCUCGGGAGCCCUUUUUUUGUGUUUAUGCUAUUGGGCUUGCUAUUAUUUUUGUCUCUAGGCUUUUAUAUUUAUUUUUUCGUCUAGGCUUUUAUAUUUACGUGGAUAUGGGCUUUUUUCUUUGCACCGAAACAUGUGGGCUGUGUGUUAAUCGCACAUUAUUUUUGUAUUUUUAUAUUUUUAAGAUUUCAUAUCUGGUCCUUGAGAAAAAUAAAUUUAAUGUUUGGAUGACUAAAAUUGCACAUGUUUUUUUGUGCAAAUUUGGAUUUAAAAUGUGCAAUUGGAUAUUGCACCUUCGAACAGUUAAAAUUGCACAUGUUUUUAUGUGCAUAUUUGGAUUUUUGAAAUGUGCAACUGGAUUGCACGUUUGGACGGCUAAAAUUGCACAUGUUUUUUGUGUGCAAAUUUGGAUUUUGAAAUGUACAAUUAGAUAUUGC